CAUCUGAGCAAAAGACUCUGGCCAAUCUACCGUGGAUUGUGGAGCCGGGCCAAGAAGCCAAGAGGGGCAUUAAUACCAAGUAUGAAACCACGAUUUUCUGAUACUCGCCGUCCUCCUGUCCUCGCGGUGCCUUGCUCGCCAAGCGGUCCCGGAGCAGGCUUUCCUUCGCGCCUCCGCGUCCACCCAGCCCAGGAGGAAGACUGCUCUGAGCGUGCGGCCUUGUUACGGGCGAAAGGCCACUGGCCAUUCCUGGGGAAGUUCUUUCUGCACCAGUGAUGGAAAACGCAAGACUUUCCAGUCGCAACCCCUGAGAGGCGAUCUUCUUCAUGCCAGCCAUACCGGGCAGGAACCAUCAGAGAGACACACUGAGGAGGCACUCAGAAAAUUUUGAUAGAAUUGAAUUUACAUAUAGCUGAUAAAGCCUAAAUAGAAA
rnacentral:lncRNA from 1 species